GACUCUCGACUCAUUCAUCC
rnacentral:siRNA from 1 species